rnacentral:hammerhead_ribozyme from 1 species
GCAUUGCUGAGGAGUCCCAUAAUAGGACGAAACAGUCGUCCAAUGC